GAUGAAGAACGUAGCAAAAUGCGAUAAGUAAUGUGAAUUGCAGAAUUCAGUGAAUCAUCGAAUCUUUGAACGCACAUUGCGCCCGCCAGUAUUCUGGCGGGCAUGCCUGUUCGAGCGUCAUUUCAACCCUCAAGCACAGCUUGGUAUUGGGACUCGCGUUAAUUCGCGUUCCUCAAAUUGAUUGGCGGUCACGUCGAGCUUCCAUAGCGUAGUAGUAAAACCCUCGUUACUGGUAAUCGUCGCGGCCACGCCGUUAAACCCCAACUUCUGAAUGUUGACCUCGGAUCAGGUAGGAAUACCCGCUGAACUUAAGCAUAUCAAUAAGCGGAGGA
rnacentral:misc_RNA from 1 species